CAGUCUUAUUCUACAGCAGCGGACUAUAAUGCGCACUUCAGCAUAGAUUUUCAAACGGCUGAAGUCACGUUAACGAAAGAAUUAGAUUAUGGUACCAACAAUUAUUACCAAUUUGAUGUUUAUGCGCAGGAUGACAGCGGUACAGGGAACACAGGCGUUCCGGCAGAUCUCAUCGUCAGAGUUCUGGACGUCCAGAAUAAACCUCCGUUCUUUAUAAGCAUACCAUACAGAGCCAUAGUUACAGAAAAUAUCAACAAGAAUAGUCCUAUUUUGAAGGUGUCGGCUAGGGACGGGGAUACUGGAAUACCAAAUCCUGUAAAUUACACUAUUCUUCCAGGUGUGUGCUCAACACAAUUCAGCAUUGAUCAAAAAGGCCAAAUUAGCACUUCAAAAGCCAUCGAUAGAGAUAAAGACGAUAUCGCCCAUGUUUCUGGUGUCUGUGUUCUUA
rnacentral:lncRNA from 1 species